rnacentral:rRNA from 1 species
UACGGAGGAUCCGAGCGUUAUCCGGAUUUAUUGGGUUUAAAGGGUGCGCAGGCGGGAUGUUAAGUCGGCGGUGAAAUUUUGCAGCUCAACUGUAAAAGUGCCUUCGAUACUGGCUUUCUUGAGUGUGGAUGAAGUAGGCGGAAUUUGUGGUGUAGCGGUGAAAUGCUUAGAUAUCACGAGGAACUCCGAUUGCGCAGGCAGCUUACUAAACCACUACUGACGCUCAUGCACGAAGGCGUGGGGAGUCAAACAGGAGUUAGAUA